GACGAACGCUGGCGGCGGGCUUAACACAUGCAAGUCGAACGGAAAGGCCCUUCUUUUGUGGGGUGCUCGAGUGGCGAACGGGUGAGUAACGCGUGAGUAACCUGCCCUUGACUUUGGGAUAACUUCAGGAAACUGGUGCUAAUACCGGUUAGGAGCUCCCGCUGCAUUGAUGUGGUUGUAAAGUUUCGGCGGUUGGGGAUGGACUCGCGGCUUAUCAGUGUGUUGGUGGGGUAUUGGCUUACCAAGGCUUGGACGGGUUGCCGGCCUGAGAGGGUGACCGACCACAUUGGGACUGAGAUACGGGCCAGAGUCGUACGGGAGGCAGCAGUGGGGACUAAUGCACGAUGGGCGGAAGCCUGAUGCAGCAACACCGCGUGAGGGAUGACGGCCUUCGGUUUGUAAACCGCUUUCGCCUGUAACGAAGCGUGAGUGACGGUAACGGGUAAAGAAGCACCGGCUAACUACGUG
rnacentral:rRNA from 1 species